rnacentral:rRNA from 1 species
UACGAAGGGGGCUAGCGUUGCUCGGAAUCACUGGGCGUAAAGCGCACGUAGGCGGCUUCUUAAGUCAGGGGUGAAAUCCUGGAGCUCAACUCCAGAACUGCCUUUGAUACUGAGUAGCUUGAGUCCGGGAGAGGUGAGUGGAACUGCGAGUGUAGAGGUGAAAUUCGUAGAUAUUCGCAAGAACACCAGUGGCGAAGGCGGCUCACUGGCCCGGUACUGACGCUGAGGUGCGAAAAGCGUGGGGAGCAAACAGG